UGCCAGCAGCCGCGGUAAUACGGAGGGGGCUAGCGUUGUUCGGAAUUACUGGGCGUAAAGCGCGCGUAGGCGGUUUAUCAAGUCAGACGUGAAAUCCCCGGGCUCAACCCUGGAACUGCCUCCAAAACUAUCAGUCUAGAGUUCGAGAGAGGUGAGUGGAAUUCCGAGUGUAGAGGUGAAAUUCGUAGAUAUUCGGAGGAACACCAGUGGCGAAGGCGGCUCACUGGCUCGAUACUGACGCUGAGGUGCGAAAGUGUGGGGAGCAAACAGGAUUAGAUA
rnacentral:rRNA from 1 species